rnacentral:rRNA from 1 species
CUAAGAAUAUUCCGCAAUGGACGAAAGUCUGACGGAGCGACGCCGCGUGGAUGACGAAGGCCGAAAGGUUGUAAAAUCCUUUUGUUGGGGAAGAAUAAUGUCGGGAGGUAAUGCCCGGCAGAUGACAUGAACCGACGAAUAAGCCCCGGCUAACUACGUGCCAGCAGCCGCGGUAACACGUAGGGGGCGAGCGUUGUUCGGAAUUACUGGGCGUAAAGGGCAUGUAGGCGGCCUGAUAAGCCUGGCGUGAAAGUCACCGGCUCAACCGGUGGAUUGCGUCGGGAACUGUUGGGCUUGAGUCAUGGAGGGGAAGGUAGAAUUCCUGGUGUAGGGGUGAAAUCUGUAGAGAUCAGGAAGAAUACCAGUGGCGAAGGCGACCUUCUGGCCAAUGACUGACGCUGAGGUGCGAAAGUGUGGGGAUCAAACAGG